UGCCUUCAUAGCUCUCUUUUGUUUGAGAUAAGGAAAAGAAGAAGAAAUCAUUGAAUAUAUUUGGUAAUUUGAGUUGGUAGUAAUCUAAUUUGUGAAAAAUCUUCUUACAAAUGAUAUCAUCAUCCAUUUUUUUAUUCAAGGAUUUAAUAAUAAAGAAAUAAUUUGAAAGAUCCUUAAGAUAAACUGGAUAAUUUAGAAAAGGCCAAGAAAAUUGAUCAGAUAGUCAAAGACAUUAAUAAGCAACAAGAG
rnacentral:lncRNA from 1 species